rnacentral:rRNA from 1 species
AUGUUUGAGUAUCAAUAUGUUGUGAGCAAGAUGUUUGAUAGUGAGGCAGAAGGCUAUGAAUUCUACAACAAAUAUGCUCUUGAAAAAGGUUUUAGUGUGAGGAAAAGCUACGUUGAGUGGGAUGGAUCCAACAAUUACGUAAUUUUAAGGAAAACUGUGUGUAGUCGUCAAGGGUUUCGCAAAGAGAAGCACAUGAAAAGAAAGAUGGAAGAUAGAAAGAGGAGGCCACGAAGUUUAACUCAUGUUGGGUGUAACGCUAAAUUGGUCAUUGCGAGAGAGGAGGAAACAGGUCGGUGGUUUGUCAAGGAUUUUAUCGAUCAGCACAGCCAUCCUCUAGCCCCACGGGAUCUUUCUUGUCUACCGCGUUCGCACAGACGAAUUAGCAAUGAGCAGAAAGCAGACAUUGCGGACAUGGAAAAAUCUGGAAUCCGCAAAUACCAUAUUAUGGAUAUUUUGUGCACUCAAUACGGUGGAUUUGAGAAGGUUGGUUGCAUAAAGAGGGACAUCUAUAAUUUCUGCCAUGCUAAUAAGCAGGAGACAAUCAGUGCCGGUGAUGCUAAAACGGUGAUCAUGCACAUGAUGGUGAGGCGAGAGCGAGAUCCGGAUUUUUUCUUCAAGUACUUGGUUGACGACCUUGGCCAUCUGAAGGGACUGUUCUAGGCUGAUAGUCAAUCCCGACUUGACUGCGAGGCUUUCAGAGACGUCAUUGUUUUUGAUAGCACAUACAGAACCAAUAAGUACAACAUGCCAUUCGUGCCGUUGAAUCACCACCGCAGCACUGUUACUUUUGCCUGUGCUAUAAUUUCUCAUGAAACAAGCCAGGCAUAUGAGUGGAUGUUGCGGUCCUUUUCUGAUUGCAUGGCACAGAAGCAUCCGAUAUCCGUGAUCACAGACGGGGACCUUGCAAUACAGAGAGCAAUCAGGGUGGUCUGGCCUGACUCAAACCAUAGACUGUGUAUAUGGCACAUUCAGCAGAACAUUGUACGCCAUCUGCAUGAUGACGACAUAAAGGAGUAAUUCAGAUCUUUCAUAUAUGAUACUUCUUCCAUUGAAGAGCAUGAGAUAAAAUGGAUACAAUUCUUACAACAGAAUAAAGUAAGUAGUGAGGAGUCUUGGCUGCAUCAGAUGAGAAAGUUGUGGUGUCUUCCAUAUCUUGAGGGGCGUUGUUUCCUAGGAUUGAGUAGCAAUCAAAGGAGUGAGAGCUUGAACUCCAUUCUACAUACACAUCUUGAGGGUAAGAUGUCGUUGUUUGAAAUGCUAGAGCACUAAGAACGUUGCCUUGCGUCACGACAGAUUAACGAAGCUCUCCAUGACGUCGAAGCCUUGCAGUCCCUUCCAUUUACUAAGGAAAAUGCUUCGCCGCUUGAGAAACACGCCGCAACUGUUUUCACUCCUACUGUCUUUAAGAUUGUCUUAUGGAGCAUAGAAGCUGUCAGCAAAUAUCAGAUCAGAGAGAUACGGGAUGGAUCAGAAGUUUCCACCUAUGUUAUGUCCAAGUAGGCAAGAAUGGAUAAAAAGUUUGGAGUGCGCAUUAAGGAGCAAGGAGGUCUUUUGCACAGGGUCAGUUGUUCUUGCUGUAAGCUGAAAUGCGCAGGCACACCAUGUUCCCACAUUUUUUACAUAUUGGGGAUUUUAAAGCAAACAAUUCUGCCCAGUUGUUGUGGUCCCACUAGGUGGACUAUAAAUGCAAAAUGUGCAUACGCACCGACCAGAAAAAACCAGAUGUAUGACUAUUCAGCAAGCCACUCUGAUGAGGACUAUCAGCGUCUAAAGAUGCUUUUGGAAGCAAUCAUGGCAAGCAAUCAAGUAUUGAAUAAGCUGACAGCAAGGAGUCAACUAAUGCUCAGCAUAACUGCAUUAGGUUUGGCCCGUUGA